rnacentral:rRNA from 1 species
UAAGGAAUAUUGGACAAUGGAGGCAACUCUGAUCCAGCCAUGCCGCGUGAAGGAAUAAGGCCCUAUGGGUUGUAAACUUCUUUUAGACGGGACAAAACCCCUUUACGUGUAAAGGGUUGAUGGUACUGUCAGAGUAAGCAUCGGCUAACUUCGUGCCAGCAGCCGCGGUAUUACGAAGGAUGCAAGCGUUAUCCGGAAUUAUUGGGUUUAAGGGUGCGUAGGCGGACUAAUAAGUCAGUGGUGAAAGCCUGCAGCUUAACUGCAGAAUUGCCAUUGAUACUGUUAGUCUUGAGUACAGUUGAGGUAGGCGGAAUGUGUCAUGUAGCAGUGAAAUGCGUAGAGAUGUGGAGGAACACCGAUGGCGAAGGCAGCCCCCUGGGCCUGUACUGACGCUCAUGCACGAAAGCGUGGGGAGCAAACA